rnacentral:rRNA from 1 species
GCCCGAGUAAACGGCGGCCGUAACUAUAACGGUCCUAAGGUAGCGAAAUUCCUUGUCGGUUAAAUACCGACCUGCAUGAAUGGCGUAACGAGAUGGGAGCUGUCUCAACCAGAGAUUCAGUGAAAUUGUAGUGGAGGUGAAAAUUCCUCCUACCCGCGGCAAGACGGAAAGACCCCGUGGACCUUUACUACAACUUAGCACUGCUAAUGGGAAUAUCAUGCGCAGGAUAGGUGGGAGGCUUUGAAGUAAGGGCUUUGGCUCUUAUGGAGUCAA